rnacentral:rRNA from 1 species
GACGAACGCUGGCGGCGUGCCUAAUACAUGCAAGUAGAACGCACAGUUUAUACCGUAGCUUGCUACACCAUAGACUGUGAGUUGCGAACGGGUGAGUAACGCGUAGGUAACCUGCCUGGUAGCGGGGGAUAACUAUUGGAAACGAUAGCUAAUACCGCAUAAUAUUGAUUAUUGCAUGAUAAUUGAUUGAAAGAUGCUAUUGCAUCACUACCAGAUGGACCUGCGUUGUAUUAGCUAGUAGGUGAGGUAACGGCUCACCUAGGCGACGAUACAUAGCCGACCUGAGAGGGUGAUCGGCCACACUGGGACUGGGACACGGCCCAGACUCCUACGGGAGGCAGCAGUAGGGAAUCUUCGGCAAUGGACGAAAGGCUGACCGAGCAAAGCCGCGGGAGUGAAGAAGGGUUUCGGAUCGGAAAGCUCUGUUGUAAGAGAAGAACGGGUGUGAGAGUGGAAAGUUCACGUUGUGACGGUAUCUUACCAGAAAGGGACGGCUAACUACGUG